UACGAACUGUGCGAACGUUAUUCGGAAUCACUGGGCUUACAGGGUGCGUAGGCGGCUAUUCAGGUCAGGUGUGAAAGCCCUCGGCUCAACCGAGGAACUGCGCUUGAAACCGGAUGGCUCGAGUCAACUAGAGGUGCACGGAACUUCCAGUGGAGCGGUGAAAUGUGUUGAUAUUGGAAGGAACACCGGAGGCGAAAGCGGUGCACUGGGGGUUGGUCUGACGCUGAGGCACGAAAGCGUGGGGAGCGAACAGG
rnacentral:rRNA from 1 species